rnacentral:rRNA from 2 species
CACCGCCCGUCGCUACUACCGAUUGAAUGGCUCAGUGAGGCCUUCGGACUGGCCCAGGGAGGUCGGCAACGACCACCCAGGGCCGGAAAGUUGGUCAAACUCGGUCAUUUAGAGGAAGUAAAAGUCGUAACAAGGUCUCCGUAGGUGAACCUGCGGAGGGAUCAUUA